rnacentral:sRNA from 1 species
CCCAUCGCAGCCAUAGUGGACGAAAAGAUCUUCUGCUGCCACGGAGGCCUGUCCCCGGACCUGCAGUCUAUGGAGCAGAUUCGGCGGAUCAUGCGGCCCACAGAUGUGCCUGACCAGGGCCUGCUGUGUGACCUGCUGUGGUCUGACCCUGACAAGGACGUGCAGGGCUGGGGCGAGAACGACCGUGGCGUCUCUUUUACCUUUGGAGCCGAGGUGGUGGCCAAGUUCCUCCACAAGCACGACUUGGACCUCAUCUGCCGAGCACACCAGGUGGGCUGGUGGCCCUGGCCUGCGGCGGGGGAAGGGAGGGCAGUGCCUGCGCUCAGGACUGACUGCUCCCAUCCUCGCCCAGGUGGUAGAAGAUGGCUAUGAGUUCUUUGCCAAGCGGCAGCUGGUGACACUUUUCUCAGCUCCCAACUACUGUGGCGAGUUUGACAAUGCUGGCGCCAUGAUGAGCGUGGACGAGACCCUCAUGUGCUCCUUCCAGGUGAGUGUGGGGAAGAAAGGGGCCGCUAGGUCCUGUGGCUCAGCCCCAUGAGCCUGACCAACGCUGUCUCUUUUAGAUCCUCAAGCCCGCCGACAAGAACAAGGGGAAGUACGGGCAGUUCAGUGGCCUGAACCCUGGAG